rnacentral:lncRNA from 1 species
AGAUAUUGUGGGGCCUCUUACAACUGCAUAAAGGAUGCAUCUCAUAAUGACAAACAGCUGGAGCUGUUAAUUCAGGAUCCCACAAGUGGAACAGAAGGUCUCACCCUGGGGCUGAAAAAGGUAGCACAUCUAUUCCACCGACUGUGAUGCCUGUUGCCACCAUCUUGGUGGCCCAGCUCAGGAACUGUGUAUACAGCCAGAGCAGAAGAUCUCAGUAACAAGUCAUUUCUACAUGGGCUCACUCUGCAGGACAUCAGGUCCCCGAGAGCCAGACUUGCCAGGAGGAAGCUGAGCAACGCUCCUGCCUGCAUCCCCAGCAGCCACAGGCUGAUGCCACUGCAGCCAUUGAUUGCUCUUCCCCACACACUUCUGCUGGGUCACAGCCUCCUGCUGAGUGGGCAGAGGCUCGGUGGGAUCAUUGCUCCUGCCUCUGCAGCAGUGUCUCAGCCUGGGUUGAGCUCUCAUUCCUUUUUGGGGAGUUGUGUUUAUAGACGGUGUCUACCAUGCCACAGUCCAAGGAGUGCUGAGGCUAGCAUACUUCCUUUUGUUUUUCUUCCUUAGAGGAUGUGAAAGGCAUCUUGUGCAGGACUUGUGCUGUGAAGCUGGAAGCACCUGAGGCCUUUUCCUUGGAGGUUCAGACUGUGUUUGGUGCUGCUGAACUUUACAGGAAUAUGAAGAUGAAGUUAAUGGGUUAUCAAGCGACCUCAUCAAAAGAGAAUAGGAAGGGGAAACUAUCUCCCUAACAGACUUUCUGGAUGACAGCAGAGGCAUUGAUAGAGGAAGAAGCACUUAUGGCCUCAAAUCAAUCAGCUGGGCUGAUGAAACAGAUGACUGGGAAGAGGAUGUUUCAGCCAGAUGGCAGAGUGGGGAUGAGGAUGUGUAUGGGGUUCCUGGAACUGACCAUGUUGUCCUUGCCACCGCUCCAUGUGCUGCUCAGGAACCCAGUGUCGACUGGAGCUGUCUGCCCAAGUCUCUGCCCUACCCUGCUUUUCUUGGGAACCUUCCCAAAGAUCUGAUCAAAGAUUUGGUUAAGAACUUCUUUAGAGGAUUAAAUAUCAGGGUGGUGCAUUUACCAUGUGACCCCUGCAAUCCAAAAAGGUAGAAAGGUUUUGGUUCUGUUCAGUUUGGGAACUUGGAUUCCCUGCUCUGUGCCCUGAGUCUCAAUAAACUGUGUCUAGGCAAAAGAAUAGUUCGAGUUGGAUUAGCUGAUCAAGCAUAGCAAGACAGCACACAGGAGCCUGACAAAACAGACACAGACUGGAGGGCCCGACCUGCCACAGACAGCUUUGAUGAUGAC